CAGCAGCCGCGGUAAUACGGAGGGGGCUAGCGUUGUUCGGAAUUACUGGGCGUAAAGCGCACGUAGGCGGCUUGGUAAGUUAGAGGUGAAAGCCCGGAGCUCAACUCCGGAAUUGCCUUUAAGACUGCCGAGCUAGCAGGUGAGAGAGGUAAGUGGAAUUCCGAGUGUAGAGGUGAAAUUCGUAGAUAUUCGGAAGAACACCAGUGGCGAAGGCGGCUUACUGGCUCAUACUGGACGCUGAGGUGCGAAAGCGUGGGGAGCAAACAGGAUUAGAUACCCGCGUAGUCCCUGUCUCUUAUAA
rnacentral:rRNA from 1 species